rnacentral:rRNA from 1 species
GACGAACGCUGGCGGCGUGCUUAACACAUGCAAGUCGAACGGAAAGGCCCUGCUUUUUUGGGGUGCUCGAGUGGCGAACGGGUGAGUAACACGUGAGUAACCUGCCCUUGACUUUGGGAUAACUUCAGGAAACUGGGGCUAAUACCGGAUAGGAGCUCCUGCUGCAUGGUGGGGGUUGGAAAGUUUCGGCGGUUGGGGAUGGACUCGCGGCGUAUCAGCUUGUUGGUGGGGUAGUGGCUUACCAAGGCUUUGACGGGUAGCCGGCCUGAGAGGGUGACCGGCCACAUUGGGACUGAGAUACGGCCCAGACUCAUACGGGAGGCAGCAGUGGGGAAUAUUGCACAAUGGGCGGAAGCCUGAUGCAGCAACGCCGCGUGCGGGAUGACAGCCUUCGGGUUGUAAACCGAUUUCGCCUGUGACGAAGCGUGAGUGACGGUAAUGGGUAAAGAAGCACCGGCUAACUACGUG